UACGAGGGGGGCAAGCGUUGUUCGGAUUUAUUGGGCGUAAGGGGUGCGUAGGUGGUGCGGCAAGUUGGAAGUGAAAUCUCUGGGCUUAACCCAGAGGCUGCUUUCAAAACUGCCGUGCUCGAGUGCGAGAGAGGUCAGUGGAAUUGCAGGUGUAGCGGUGAAAUGCGUAGAUAUCUGCAGGAACACCCGUGGCGAAGGCGGCUGACUGGAUCGCAACUGACACUGAGGAACGAAAGCUAGGGGAGCAAACAGG
rnacentral:rRNA from 1 species